UACGUAGGGUGCAAGCGUUGUCCGGAAUUAUUGGGCGUAAAGAGCUCGUAGGCGGUCUGUCGCGUCGGCUGUGAAAACCCGGAGCUCAACUCCGGGCCUGCAGUCGAUACGGGCAGACUGGAGUUCGGCAGGGGAGACUGGAAUUCCUGGUGUAGCGGUGAAAUGCGCAGAUAUCAGGAGGAACACCGGUGGCGAAGGCGGGUCUCUGGGCCGAUACUGACGCUGGAGACGCGAAAGCGUGGGGAGCGAACAGG
rnacentral:rRNA from 1 species